UAGAGAUUGUAUAUCCCAGCAGCUGACGCUGCUUCUGGCUCUUAGUAGGGCUCACAGCAUUUAAUUUGUGGCUUGAGGAUAAAAAUAGUAAUAGUUACAUUUAUUGAGCAUUGCCUCAAGCAGCUACUGCCCUGGACUUUCUCGGUGUGUUUCCUCAUUUAAGCCUUACGCCAGCCCCGUGAGGAAGGUGCUGCUUACACUCCUGACUUACAGAUUCCCAAGUAGGACUCAGGCAUGGCGAGAUCCAGCAAGGAAUGGGCUGGAAUGAUCUGACACCAGUGCCCCUGCUGGAACCAGGAGGAGUGCUAACUCAGACUGCACGCUGAUGGCAUCUCCCAGCAAGGAAGAUAUCGUCUGCACAGGACUGACGAAGCAUGCUCCAAGCAUGUCCCCACCAGGCCCAGGACACCCUCCAGGGGCAAGACUCUCCCUGGAGAAGGUCAGAGCUCACAGGCAGAAGGCGCUGGGGCUACAGGUUUCUGCUGCCUGUGGCUCCUUAUCAAGGGCUGCAACUCCAGAGCAGAGCAAGACAACCUUACUAUGCCCCCCUUGGGGUGGGAAUAACUCGGCGGCUGCCAGCGGAGGAUAGUUGGCGAUUUGUACAAGGCGGGCGUGGGGUUUAGAGCUGUGAGGCUGGCUGAGGCCAUGGCUCUGCCAUCCUCUCUGUCCUGCUCGUCUGUCCUGGCCACUCUUCUCUGAGGGGUCAGUCAUGGCCCAGAAGGCCCCAGCUGGCUGCAAACAGCCUGUCCCAUGAUUGAGUUUGUACCUCAAAUCUGCUAAUUUUGAUGGAAAUCCUUCUAAGAUCCCAUUGGUCCUCCCUUUCCACGCAUGUGGGCUGUUGGAAAUAAUGGGGCCAGGACCAGACAGCCCUUUGCCAGUCCUAGGGGCCCUGCAGGGUGGUGAAGCCUCAUCCUGUGGGUGUCACCCCCACAUCUAGGAUGUCGACAGGGUGUGGGGCUGACCUGCCCUUCUCGCCCAUCUUGAGGGUGAGUGAUAUGCCCUCUCUCUGCUCCCUAUACGUGGAGAAGACCGUCUGUCUUCUCUCCCUGGAGUUUGCCUUGGUGCCCUGAGCUGGGAGGUUGAGGGGGGUCCGGAUUGCUUCCCAGGAAAGGCACUGUCGGUCGGCCCAGCCCACAGGGCAUAGCACCUGUUUUAAAGAGACGAGGAGAGGCCGGGACUCCUCUGCCUUGUCCUGGCUCCUUCUUUCCCUUCCAAAGAUGCGCCUUCUUCCCUCCAGGGACUUGGGGCCUUUGUGGGCCCUCCCCACCCCUGCCGUCUGCCCUCUGUCCACCCCGCUCCAGAACACUGCCCAGGGUGAAUGUCGGACUCUUGUCUGUUCCUCUUCAUCUCCUGAAACCAAAAUAAACUGAUAUACGAGGCAGCCAGGGCCGGGGGCCAGGAGCCGAGGCCGCAGGGCACUGCUUUUAGCAGGUGGUGUCCCAGCGCUGGGUCUGAGCCGUCCCAGGACUUGGCACUGACCCACAACCCAGCUCCACCCCACCCUCAACUGGCUCUUCCUCUCCCCUCUCUCUCUCUCCUUCCUGGAAGAGAUGUCAUUGUCAUAAGGAAAAUGUGCUGGUAUUGGCAUCCUCUCUGGGCCCCACGAGGUGUGGGACGCUAUGAAUGCCUCCCCAGCACACACACACACACACCUUUAUUCACGGGAAUUCAGAUUAAAACAAACAUGGAGGGAAGCUUGGAAGGGAGAGGCCAGGUAUGUGUGUGUGUUUGUGUGUGUGUGGCCAAGAGCCAGGCUGAGGCUGGCAGACAGUGCCAUGGCCCUCCCCAGUUCAGCCCCAGGAGCUGUGAGCACAUACAUUCAACAGCUAUUUAAGAGCACCCACUGUGUGCCAGGCACUGUUGUAGGCACUGACACACAGCAGUGAAAAGAAAGACUAUUCUAGAUGGGAGAGACGUGCAAUAAACAAAAUACAAAUAUAUGAUGGGUAAGGGGGAUGAUGAGUGCUGUGGAGAAAAAUAAAGCAGGAUAUGAGGCUGGAGAGUGGGGAGGAGAGAGUCUAUUUAGGAUCCAGAGAGUAGGGUCCCCCUGGGCCAUGCAUGAGCCCUGCAGGCUUUCUCUGGGUGGUCACAUCCUGCUUGCUGCUCCCCCCCAGCUGUUUGGUUUCUGCCUCUGCCUAUUUCUGUCCCGUAAAACCCUCCCGGGGGACUGUUCCUCAGGACCAGCUCUGGGGCCUUGUAGGAGGGCUCCAGAGAUCACUGAGGCCGGGGCUUCUCAGAUGCUUGACGCAAUUUGACGUUCAAAUUAAAACUGCAAUGAGAUACCACUCAGGCCCACCAGAAUGGAUAAUAUGAAAAAAGAUGGAAAAUACCAAGUGUUGGGCAGGAUACGGAGCAGCUGGAACUCUUGCGCGCAGCUGGCAGGAAUGUAAAUUGGUACAACACCUUUGGGAAAUUGUGUGGCAUUUACUCCAGCUGAGCAUAUACCCGCCCUAUGACCCAGCGAUUCCCAUCUUGGGUGUAUACCCCACAGAAACGGGCGCGCAGAUCCACCAAAUUAAUGUUCUAAAAUAUUCAUAGCUACACUCUUCAGCAUUGCCCCAAACCGGGACCCACCCAAAUGUCCACCAACAGUAGGAUGGAUAAACUGUGAUGUAUUUGUAGUGUGGAAUACUAUGCAGCCGCGAGAAGGAACAAUCUGCAACUACAUGAAACGAUAUGGGUGGAUCUCACAGUAAACUGAUGAACGAAAGAGGACACAGGUGUGGCUCUACUCACGUGAAGUUCAGAACAAUCUGUGCCGCUGGAGGGC
rnacentral:lncRNA from 1 species